rnacentral:rRNA from 1 species
UACGUAGGGACCGAGCGUUGUCCGGAUUCAUUGGGCGUAAAGAGCUCGUAGGCGGCUGUUCAAGUCGAACGUGAAAACUCGGAGCUCAACUCCGAGCCUGCGUUCGAGACUGGAUGGCUAGAGUCUGGUAGGGGGAUCUGGAAUUCCUGGUGUAGCGGUGGAAUGCGCAGAUAUCGUAAGGAAGACCAGUGGCGAAGGCGGGUCUCUGGACAGUUCCUGACGCUGAGGCACGAAGGCCAGGGGAGCAAACGGG